rnacentral:misc_RNA from 1 species
AAGUCGUAACAAGGUCUCCGUAGGAGAACCUGCGGAGGGAUCAUUAACACGAAUACACUAAGAGAUCGUUAAACAUUUCUUAGUCGUUUCAAAACAACAACCAAACUCGUGAACUCGAAUUCUUAAUUGAAUUCAAUCCGCCCCUUUUGUAGAACGUUAACAAAGAGAAAAAUAUCGCUUGCGUGUUUAUACCUAUCAAUAAAUGUGAUGGUAUUAUAGAAAUAUAAUACUUAUUGAUAAUCAUAAACUGAUAUUCUUCUUUCGUUCUAUGAUUGGACCCAUACCUUUUUUGCAUCACAAAAAAAACAUACAAACCUAUUUCACCCUAACCAUAUAAACAUUGACUGAUUUUUGUUUUUUUGGAAACUUAAAAACAUUAAACUCGAUAUCAUCGAAAACUAAAAGCACAACUCUUAGCAACGGAUAUCUUGGUUCUC